UAGGGAAUCUUCCGCAAUGGACGCAAGUCUGACGGAGCAACGCCGCGUGAGUGAAGAAGGAUUUCUGUUCGUAAAACUCUGUUGUUAGAGAAGAACAGCGCAUAGAGUAACUGUUAUGCGUGUGACGGUAUCUAACCAGAAAGCCACGGCUAACUACGUGCCAGCAGCCGCGGUAAUACGUAGGUGGCAAGCGUUGUCCGGAUUUAUUGGGCGUAAAGCGAGCGCAGGCGGUCAAUUAAGUCUGAUGUGAAAGCCCCCGGCUCAACCGGGGAGGGUCAUUGGAAACUGGUUGACUUGAGUGCAGAAGAGGAGAGUGGAAUUCCAUGUGUAGCGGUGAAAUGCGUAGAUAUAUGGAGGAACACCAGUGGCGAAGGCGACUCUCUGGUCUGUAACUGACGCUGAGGUUCGAAAGCGUGGGUAGCAAACAGG
rnacentral:rRNA from 1 species